UAGCUGAGUCAGUAAAGAAUCUGCCUGCAAUGCAGGAGACCCAGGUUUGAUCCCUGG
rnacentral:tRNA from 1 species